rnacentral:tRNA from 1 species
UGUGGCGAAGUGGUUAACGCACCAGAUUGUGGCUCUGGCACUCGUGGGUUCGAUUCCCAUCA